UACGUAGGUGGCAAGCGUUGUCCGGAUUUAUUGGGCGUAAAGCGCGCGCAGGCGGUUUCUUAAGUCUGAUGUGAAAGCCCCCGGCUUAACCGGGGAGGGUCAUUGGAAACUGGGAGACUUGAGUGCAGAAGAGGAAAGUGGAAUUCCAAGUGUAGCGGUGAAAUGCGUAGAUAUUGGGAGGAACACCAGUGGCGAAGGCGGCUCACUGGACCGGUACUGACGCUGAGGCA
rnacentral:rRNA from 1 species